AAUGGGUACUUUUUCAACCAUUUCGCCAAAAAGUGGGCCAACCCAUUUAGUGGGUAAAUAAUGUAAAUAAACAAGGUGACAAUGUUAGGAGUGAACGAAAAGUUUUUUAGUUAAGCGUGAUAAAAAAUAUGUGUUUUUCCGAAGUUUGACCUACACAUUUUAAAUCCAACAUAAAACCUGUACACUGGUUCAAAUAAAUUUACCAAUGCAUCACCGGUGUAAUCUUUCAAAGCUGUGUAGUGUGUACCUUGUGAAGAAUUUCAGAAAAUGCAUAUUCGCUUAUGCAUGGUGAAAAACAGAACUGUAUAUAGAGAUUAGUGAUGGGAAACUUAUCGAUACUUAUCGAUAAUAUCGAUAAAUGCUGGACACCGAUAUUAUCGUUGAUUUUUUGACGUUAACGAUAAUUACCGAUAUUAUAAGGGCAGCUCUCUCAUAUUAACGUCAAUUGACAUGGCAUUGUGGUGCACUUCAUUCCUAAACACUGGAUCACUCACCUCGACCCGGCAGCACUCAUCGUCAGUGGUAAACAACAAAUCUAAAAAUCUAUUGUUUUGAUUCGGGAUGUCGUAAACUUGGAAAAAACCGCAAGCAGCCAUAGAAUCAACAAGGAGCUCUUCUUCUGGUUGACGGACAUCAAACGCUUCAAGUGACGAAUCGACUAUGUUUCGCAUGCUUUCAACGUACGAUGCAAAACGGCAAAAGUUCGAGUCGGGAGGAGGAUUCAAAAGCUAACUUGCUACAAAGCCGUUCAUUAACAGCAAUGAGAACACCGCCACCACUGCUCUUAUCGGAAUUGGUUGAGAUCUAUCACAACGGUAAACUGCAAACGAUGGUGGGAAUACAAAUUGGUUAUGGAUUGAUUCAUCUAAAUUUGUUUCACAGAAUGCAUGAAUGUCGAAAUCGCGCUCCAGUGCAGCGUGAAAACUGCUUGAAGACGGC